rnacentral:rRNA from 1 species
AUUGAACGCUGGCGGCAGGCCUAACACAUGCAAGUCGAACGGUAGCAGGAAGAAGCUUGCUUCUUUGCUGACGAGUGGCGGACGGGUGAGUAAUGUCUGGGAAACUGCCUGAUGGAGGGGGAUAACUACUGGAAACGGUAGCUAAUACCGCAUAACGUCGCAAGACCAAAGAGGGGGACCUUCGGGCCUCUUGCCAUCGGAUGUGCCCAGAUGGGAUUAGCUAGUAGGUGGGGUAACGGCUCACCUAGGCGACGAUCCCUAGCUGGUCUGAGAGGAUGACCAGCCACACUGGAACUGAGACACGGUCCAGACUCCUACGGGAGGCAGCAGUGGGGAAUAUUGCACAAUGGGCGCAAGCCUGAUGCAGCCAUGCCGCGUGUAUGAAGAAGGCCUUCGGGUUGUAAAGUACUUUCAGCGGGGAGGAAGGGAGUAAAGUUAAUACCUUUACUCAUUGACGUUACCCGCAGAAGAAGCACCGGCUAACUCCGUG